CUGGCGGCAGGCCUAACACAUGCAAGUCGAGCGGUAACAUAGAGCUCUCGCGGCUUUGCUCGAGAGCCGGAGGCGUGAGAUAUAUGCGUGGGAACAUGCCUUGGGGUGGGGGACAACAGAUGGAAACGACUGCUAAUACCGCAUUAUGUCUACGGACCAGGGGGGGCUUCAGCUCUCGCGAUUUAGAUUGGCCCAAGUGGGAUUAGCUAGUUGGUGGGGUAAUGGCUCACCAAGGCGACGAUCCCUAGCUGGUGUGAGAGGAUGAUCCGCCACACUGGGAGUGAGACACGGCCCAGACUCCUACGGGGAG
rnacentral:rRNA from 1 species